AAUUAUUCAAGAACAUAUAGAUCUUGGUCUAGACACAUCUAGAUAUCUAACUUUAGUUUCUCUCUUAAAUGAUCCUCAAAUCCAUCUUCUUAGAGAGACUCAUAUCUGGCUAACAAAACAAGUCAUAACAUGGUGGUGGAAUUCUUCUCUUUAUGUUCUCAAUAUAUGAGGCGAUUAUUUGUGUGAGAGAUUUAAUCUCGCGACUUGUUUGACAGACUUUAUCACAUGCAUGUGAGAUAUAAACUUAAAUUCAACACAAAAGUGUUCGUUGAUGAGAAAGUAAUAACAAUCAAUUUAUUUUACAUUAAAAAAUGCAAUCAUAUCCUACACAAAAUUAGAGUCAUAAGAUAUUUCUCAAACAAGUCUCUGGAUGUCAUCGUUGUUAAGGGAUCAACUAUCAUUUCUCAUAUCAUGCAUCCUCAAAGAUCUGAAGCUCACGGAAACACCUCUGUCUCACCCGAGCCAGGAUUGAAUUGAUAGCUACUAACCAGACCUAUAGUAUAACAAAUGUUUGGGCGAGUACACAUCAUAGAGUACUUCAAGCUCCCAACAACACUACGAUAUAGAAUUUGAGAUGUGUCUUUUUUUUUUUUUUUAAUUCUUCGAACAUAUUUAAAGGCAUAAAUUUUUACAUCUAGCAACAGAAGCACUCAUGGAUUUUCAACUAUUCAAUCAAGAAUGUUUCAAAAUUUCCUUUA